AUACGGAAGGCAGCAGUGAGGAAUAUUGGUCAAUGGGCGCAAGCCUGAACCAGCCAUCCCGCGUGCAGGAUGAAGGCCCUAUGGGUCGUAAACUGCUUUUAUACACCAAGAAAAAUCCCGAUGUAUCGGGACCCGACGGUAGUGUAUGAAUAAGCAUCGGCUAACUCCGUGCCAGCAGCCGCGGUAAUACGGAGGAUGCAAGCGUUAUCCGGAUUCAUUGGGUUUAAAGGGUGCGUAGGCGGCUUUUUAAGUCAGUGGUGAAAUCUUGCCGCUUAACGGUAAAAUUGCCAUUGAUACUGAGAAGCUUGAGUACAGAUGAGGUAGGCGGAAUGUGUAGUGUAGCGGUGAAAUGCUUAGAUAUUACACAGAACACCAAUUGCGAAGGCAGCUUACUAAACUGUCACUGACGCUGAUGCACGAAAGCGUGGGGAUCGAACAGGAUUAGAUACCCUGGU
rnacentral:rRNA from 1 species